rnacentral:lncRNA from 1 species
AUCUUGGAGGCAGCUGCCAGUGGAUAGGAGGAACAGAUAAGCUGCUGAUCACCAGUGGGAGGGCCUUUUGUAGUCACCACAUGGCUGACAUUGUGGGCCAACUUGAGGUCUGAUUGGAUGAAGUGACACACAGCGCAGCGUUCAAGGUGAUUUGGAUGGUCCUGUUGCUUGGCAUCUUAUCAACCAGUCACGGUGGGCGUUGGCCGACCUAAACACCUUGUCUCUUUGCCUCCCUCAGAAAAAGUUACACAGAUAGAUGCCCCACAGGGCAGAAAGCUCAUCCGCCCCCCACCUCAGCUGAUCCAUGUCACACAUGAGCACUUUGAAGGGUGUCACUGAAAACUCCCAAAGAGGCAAUUUCAUCUCGUGCUCCUUGAAGAGAGCCUGACCUCCAGAGCCCAAGUCCAUUAUGCCAGAGGAAUGACUAUGGCCCCAUGUGAACCAUUUCUCACCCAUCUCAGAAUCUACUCUUAUCCUGGGCUAAGCCACCCUGGCUUGAGCAGGAUCUCCCUGACACGGCAGCCAAGGGCUCCUGGGCAUAAAAGAACCUGGCUGUUUGGCUCCUGUCCUCAGUUCUGAUCAACCCCUUCAGUGAAUGGGGAUAAGGAACAAUGACAAAGCCACAGUCUCCAAGCAGACAACACAAAAAGAAAAGAGCUUUGAUUAAAAAAAAUUAGAAAUACUCAACAUUUACCAAGACCAAAACUGCAUUCUUUUUUUUUCAGGAAUCCUACUUGGAUACACUUUGAAACAAGAGCAAACCAAAACACAAUAUACUUCAAAUAGUUUGUUGAAUAUACAAACUAUGAUAGUUCAAAUCUGAAAACUGGUACUUUUCCUCUUAAACUUCAACUAAGUAAAAAAGAAAAGAAAGAAAACUCCAGGUAUUAGAGCUACCUGACAAAAACUGAUGCUGAACCUGAUCUUCCAAGUGACAGUGGAACUGAAACUGAUGUGUCUGCACAGAUGCCAGGGCUACAUGGGUGGCACAAUUGCAGUCUCCACAUCAUCUUUCUACUGGUUUUCCAUGGAUUCUGAUU